AUUGAACGCUGGCGGCAGGCCUAACACAUGCAAGUCGAGCGGCAGCGGGAAAGUAGCUUGCUACUUUUGCCGGCGAGCGGCGGACGGGUGAGUAAUGCCUGGGAAAUUGCCCAGUCGAGGGGGAUAACAGUUGGAAACGACUGCUAAUACCGCAUACGCCCUACGGGGGAAAGCAGGGGACCUUCGGGCCUUGCGCGAUUGGAUAUGCCCAGGUGGGAUUAGCUAGUUGGUGAGGUAAUGGCUCACCAAGGCGACGAUCCCUAGCUGGUCUGCGAGGAUGAUCAGCCAAACUGGAAGUGAGACACGGUCCAGACUCCUACGGGAGGAAGAAGUGAGGAAUAUUGCACAAUGGGGGAAACCCUGAUGCAGCCAUGCCGCGUGUGUGAAGAAGGCCUUCGGGUUGUAAAGCACUUUCAGCGAGGAGGAAAGGUUGGUGCCUAAUACGUAUCAACUGUGACGUUACUCGCAGAAGAAGCACCGGCUAACUCCGUGCCAGCAGCCGCGGUAAUAC
rnacentral:rRNA from 1 species